AAUAGACAAAGCUAAAAGAAAUGUACUUGUAUUGGAUUUGUCUUUGAUGGUGACUCACAAAGAAAAAGAAAGACGGGAAGAAAUAUCACAAUGUAACAUUAAUUCUGAUUCCGAUUCAGAAAAUGUGAAAAUGUGCUUAUCUAAACAAUCCCCGCCCCUCCCGGCUGCCCAUGACGGUGCGUAAACCCAGCGCGCCUCCCUCUGCAGUCUGUCCGGGGCAGAGCUGGAGCUGGAGCAGGCAGAGGGCGGGGUGAGAGAGGCGCUGAGGAGGAUUGGUCGGUACGAUUUGAAGCUUCGGUGCUGCUGCUGCUGCCUUGUUUUCGUUCGCAGCUCUCGGCAGUCCGUGCUUCCCCUCCUCCUCCACCUCCAGCACGUACGGGACCCCAGCGCGCUCGUUGUCGGCUUCCAGGAUCUUUGGUCGCUGGAGCCUGAAAGCUGCCUGAGGGAGACACAAAGGAGACAACAUUAGGACUGAACAAGUUUAUGGACAUUUCCCAACCAGGCUGAAUCCGGACGUGCCUGUGGGCCUAGCGUGCGUUACCGUGCUUGAGGGUCCCGUCCCGAGGCGGACAGCGGCAGCAAGUGGACGGAGUCGAGAGUUUAGCGGCGGCGGCGGAGGGGGC
rnacentral:lncRNA from 1 species